AAAGCCCUUUUGGUACACUUUUGGUUGAACUCUGAAAAUGGCAUGUAUAGGACUACCCUUUUUGUAGUGGGUCAUGGACCCUUUGGAUUUGUAUAAUUUUGGAUAGCCAUGCGAAAAUGGCUUAUAUAUGUUUGAGCAUAAUAUUAUAAUCAUUUGGUAUGGAUAUGGUUAUUGAGAGGUGUGGAUAUGCUUAACAAGGAUUGGCCAU
rnacentral:lncRNA from 1 species